AAAACAUUCGGGCCAUCGGUCUACCGAGCAAUAUCACUCGCUCGAUGGAAAAUCUUUCCUUCGUCGU
rnacentral:pre_miRNA from 1 species